rnacentral:rRNA from 1 species
ACGAACGCUGGCGGCGUGCCUAAUACAUGCAAGUAGAACGCACAGUUUAUACCGUAGCUUGCUACACCAUAAACUGUGAGUUGCGAACGGGUGAGUAACGCGUAGGUAACCUGCCUGGUAGCGGGGGAUAACUAUUGGAAACGAUAGCUAAUACCGCAUAAUAUUAAUUAUUGCAUGAUAAUUGAUUGAAAGAUGCAAUUGCAUCACUACCAGAUGGACCUGCGUUGUAUUAGCUAGUAGGUGAGGUAACGGCUCACCUAGGCGACGAUACAUAGCCGACCUGAGAGGGUGAUCGGCCACACUGGGACUGAGACACGGCCCAGACUCCUACGGGAGGCAGCAGUAGGGAAUCUUCGGCAAUGGACGAAAGUCUGACCGAGCAACGCCGCGUGAGUGAAGAAGGUUUUCGGAUCGUAAAGCUCUGUUGUAAGAGAAGAACGGGUGUGAGAGUGGAAAGUUCACACUGUGACGGUAGCUUACCAGAAAGGGACGGCUAACUACGUG